rnacentral:rRNA from 1 species
GAUGAACGCUGGCGGCGUGCCUAAUACAUGCAAGUCGAGCGAACAGAUAAGGAGCUUGCUCCUUUGACGUUAGCGGCGGACGGGUGAGUAACACGUGGGUAACCUACCUAUAAGACUGGGAUAACUUCGGGAAACCGGAGCUAAUACCGGAUAAUAUUUCGAACCGCAUGGUUCGAUAGUGAAAGAUGGUUUUGCUAUCACUUAUAGAUGGACCCGCGCCGUAUUAGCUAGUUGGUAAGGUAACGGCUUACCAAGGCGACGAUACGUAGCCGACCUGAGAGGGUGACCGGCCCACCUGGAACUGAGACACGGUCCAGACUCCUACGGGAGGCAGCAGUGGGGAAUCUUCCGCAAUGGGCGAAAGCCUGACGGAGCAACGCCGCGUGAGUGAUGAAGGUCUUCGGAUCGUAAAACUCUGUUAUUAGGGAAGAACAUACGUGUAAGUACCUGUGCACGUCUUGACGGUACUUAACCAGAAAGCCACGGCUAACUACGU